UCUGCAUGCAAAGGAGAGAGAGAGAGAGAGAGAGGAGGCAAAGCAGAUAGAAGAAGCAAGGGGAAAAUUGGCGUCUGCAUGACUGGCUCCUCGCUCCUGGGAGUCCACAAUAGCCGGAGAUUAAACAACAUGGGGGCAAUUCUGGCCGGAGUUAACCUGGAAUUCAGAAGAAGAGGACCCAGGGCAGAAUGACCCAACAGAAACAAAAAUGGAAUGGAGGAAUGUACUCAGCCCUUUUCUUAGUCUCCACAGAUGCAUACCUAGAUCCGGCGACAGGAGUAGUCUUGAGCAGAGAGGUUACUCCAGAGAUUGCCAUGAGCUGAUGAUGGUGUCCUAGUCAUGUUGCCUCUAAUGUGUUGAAUAAAGAAAUGUACCAUGUUUCCUCAAA